rnacentral:rRNA from 1 species
AUUGAACGCUGGCGGCAGGCCUAACACAUGCAAGUCGAGCGGAUGAAGGGAGCUUGCUCCUGGAUUCAGCGGCGGACGGGUGAGUAAUGCCUAGGAAUCUGCCUGGUAGUGGGGGAUAACGUCCGGAAACGGGCGCUAAUACCGCAUACGUCCUGAGGGAGAAAGUUGGGGAUCUUCGGACCUCACGCUAUCAGAUGAGCCUAGGUCGGAUUAGCUAGUUGGUGGGGUAAAGGCCUACCAAGGCGACGAUCCGUAACUGGUCUGAGAGGAUGAUCAGUCACACUGGAACUGAGAAACGGACCAGACUACUACGGGAGGCAGCAGGGGGGAAUAUUGGACAAUGGGCGAAAGCAUGAUACAGCAAUGCCGCGUGUGUGAAGAAGGUCUUCGGAUUGUAAAGCACUUUAAGUUGGGAGGAAGGGCAGUAAGUUAAUACCUUGCUGUUUUGACGUUACCAACAGAAUAAGCACCGGCUAACUUCGUG